rnacentral:lncRNA from 1 species
CCUCAAAUCCUACUAAAAAAAAAUUCCAAAUCAUUUUUCAUCAUACUUAACAGUGCUUGGCAUAUUAUCCUCUCCAUUUUAAAGCCCAUUGUGAGCUUCAUCAGGUUUCAUCGUGGCCUGGUGGGUUUUACCGUGACUGACACUAUCAUCACCAAGAUGUCCCUCGGCUUCACUGAGGAUGAUGCAAAGAACUCUCGAUUUGUCAAGAGGCAUAAGAAUUGAAUCUCGUCAUCCUUAAACGUGUUGCUGAAUGGAGGCUACCUUGACAACCCUUUCUUCUUUUGUACUACUUUUUUUAUGGCUAUCGAAGACAAAUUUUGAAUUGCAUAAAAUAUCUCCUGAAUAAUUAGUGGAGAAACUCAUGUUACUGGAAGCUGUUAUUUAACUGAAAGCUGUGUUUUCUGUUAUGACUAAUCUAAAAAUUUACCUCACAAAAAAAAAAAUUGAGAAAAGAAGAUUUGAGUUUGAAGUUUUGGAUUUAUUUAAGGAAUUGGUGGAGGGAUUGAAUAUUGAAGGUCCCAAUUUUGUUGAUCUAGCUUUAAUAAAAGAAAAAUAGACAAAGAAAGUGUAAAGGAUAUUUUUGUCAACAAAUAUUUUUUUAUAAAAAUUAUACAAUAUAUAUUAUUUUUAAUACAUCAAAUCAAACAGUAUAUAAAAGAUAAUGCCAACAUAACUAGUGCAAUCACAACUAAUACCAACAUUAUUAAUGCAAGCUUACCAAUACACUUUAUUCAAUAUUAUUGUUGUACACUCUACCAAAUCGAUACCUUAAAGUUUGAAUACUAACUUAUCUUUUCUAGUCUGAGAUCCACUUGCAUGAGUUUUACCAUGAAUAGUAGUUUCACAUUUAAAAACAAAUUAAACAAUAAGGAUUGACAUAAGUUAAGAGUGACGUAAUUUUUAAUAGUCUAUGUUACUAGAAUCUUGCAAAAUGACCAUAGUGUUCGCGGCGAAUCUUUUGAAAAUGUAUUAGUUUUUGGAGGAUCUAACGAUUACUUUAAAGGACUUGAGUAACACAACUAAUAUAAUCAAAUCCUAGUAGAAAUAACACUAGGUGAUUUCUUUCAAUCUGUCUUAGCCUUGAUGGACAGAGUUACGUGAUACCUAAUGCUGAUGAGAGGUGGCAGAUAUCCCAUGAAGUUAGUCAAAAUGAUUCGUAAGAUGUCCAGAUACCACGAUUAUAAAAGAUAAUAGGUACAUAGUAAUGUAUAUAAUGGACCUGAACAGAAUGCAAUGACUACAGAAAAUUCACAUGAUAACUGGAAUCAAUUUUUAAUGAAUAUAUAAAAAGUUAAAAAGGUGGGGUAGUUAGGAAGGAUGAAGAGAGAAAAAUCAAAGAUUAUUGAAAAAGGGUGGAGAGCUAGAGCCAAAGACCAAGAAGAUCACGAGUCAAAUGGAAAGAGGGGAUAGAGGGGAAGGGGAUGUCAGUUUUGCUUUUGGUUGGCAAUGAAGAAACCAAAACA